rnacentral:lncRNA from 1 species
GUCUUCACAGCUGCAGGGGAGGCUCCUCCACAGCCGCCCUCCCCCCAACACGCCUGCAGGUGGGCGUGGGCACUGGUUGCCUUUUCUAGAACCAUUUGAAAGUUAGCUGAAGACAGCAUGGCACACUCCCUUCAAUAGGUCCCACAGUGACCCCGCGCAGGGCACAGCCCGGGCACCCUUGUGGCCUCGGCUGUCCUCGUUGGAACCACGAUCCUCAUGGUUGGCACCCUCCCCUCUGGCCUUUGACCUUUCACUUUAGAAGACCUGUCCCUGCGCCAGGCGUGGUGGCUCACGGCUGUAAUCCCAGACUUUCGGAGGCGGAGGCAGGCAGAUACGAGGCCAGGAGAUUGAGACCAUCCUGGCUAACUUGGUGAAACCCCG